rnacentral:rRNA from 1 species
UACGUAGGGUGCAAGCGUUGUCCGGAUUUAUUGGGCUUAAAGGGUGCGCAGGUGGGUAUUUAAGUCUGGUUUGAAAGCAGGUGGCUCAACCAUCUGAUGUGGCUGGAAACUGGAUAUCUUGAAUGGGUUGGCGGUAGCCGGAAUGGGUCAUGUAGCGGUGAAAUGCAUAGAUAUGACCCGGAACACCGAUUGCGAAGGCAGGCUACUACGACUUGAUUGACACUGAGGCACGAGAGCAUGGGUAGCGAACAGG